GUGGCGGACGGGUGAGUAACACGUAGGUACCUGCCCAGAAGCGGGGGACAACAUUUGGAAACAGAUGCUAAUACCGCAUAACAACGUUGUUCGCAUGAACAACGCUUAAAAGAUGGCUUCUCGCUAUCACUUCUGGAUGGACUGCGGUGCAUUAGCUUGUUGGUGGGGUAAUGGCCUACCAAGGCGAUGAUGCAUAGCCGAGUUGAGAGACUGAUCGGCCACAAUGGGACUGAGACACGGCCCAUACUCCUACGGGAGGCAGCAGUAGGGAAUCUUCCACAAUGGGCGCAAGCCUGAUGGAGCAACACCGCGUGAGUGAAGAAGGGUUUCGGCUCGUAAAGCUCUGUUGUUAAAGAAGAACACGUAUGAGAGUAACUGUUCAUACGUUGACGGUAUUUAACCAGAAAGUCACGGCUAACUACGUGCCAGCAGCCGCGGUAAUACGUAGGUGGCAAGCGUUAUCCGGAUUUAUUGGGCGUAAAGAGAGUGCAGGCGGUUUUCUAAGUCUGAUGUGAAAGCCUUCGGCUUAACCGGAGAAGUGCAUCGGAAACUGGAUAACUUGAGUGCAGAAGAGGGUAGUGGAACUCCAUGUGUAGCGGUGGAAUGCGUAGAUAUAUGGAAGAACACCAGUGGCGAAGGCGGCUACCUGGUCUGCAACUGACGCUGAGACUCGAAAGCAUGGGUAGCGAACAGGAUUAGAUACCCUGGUAGUCCAUGCCGUAAACGAUGAGUGCUAGGUGUUGGAGGGUUUCCGCCCUUCAGUGCCGGAGCUAACGCAUUAAGCACUCCGCCUGGGGAGUACGACCGCAAGGUUGAAACUCAAAGGAAUUGACGGGGGCCCGCACAAGCGGUGGAGCAUGUGGUUUAAUUCGAAGCUACGCGAAGAACCUUACCAGGUCUUGACAUCUUGCGCCAACCCUAGAGAUAGGGCGUUUCCUUCGGGAACGCAAUGACAGGUGGUGCAUGGUCGUCGU
rnacentral:rRNA from 2 species